CGGGUCUUGCACUCGUGGUGACUUAUGAAACUUGGGUUCCCCACCCUGCCACACUCAUGAGGUUAGCCUGUUUCGCGCCUUGAGGCAUACUGAGAGCCCCUAAGACUAAGACCUCCUGCUACUCCUCACCACAUGGUUCAAUCUCUCUAGAUGAGCUUGAUUGACCAUUGGAGUUUCAGGAUGACCCCCACGACUGAGCUUCCUACUUUCAUUCUAAAAUACUAAAAAUCUCGCCAAGAGAUUCUACACGGAUGGAAAUUGGUUUACCACUUGGAUCGUAGUUUCAUCACUUUGUAAUCAUAUACUUUUUGCCCCAAUCAACAUAUACAUAAUCUCAACAAUGUACAU
rnacentral:lncRNA from 1 species